UACGUAGGGUGCGAGCGUUGUCCGGAAUUAUUGGGCGUAAAGAGCUCGUAGGCGGUCUGUCGCGUCGGUCGUGAAAACUUGGGGCUUAACCCUGAGCUUGCGGUCGAUACGGGCAUGACUGGAGUUCGGCAGGGGAGACUGGAAUUCCUGGUGUAGCGGUGAAAUGCGCAGAUAUCAGGAGGAACACCGGUGGCGAAGGCGGGUCUCUGGGCAAUAACUGACGCUGAGGAGCGAAAGCGUGGGGAGCGAACAGG
rnacentral:rRNA from 1 species